UGAAAAUAACAUACAUGUAGACAG
rnacentral:piRNA from 1 species